GGGGUUGUACUGGUUUCGACGGGGUUUUAGAAGUUAGGGAAGCCACUGGCGGGUCGGGACCGUCUUAGUAAACCGAAAUUAAAUAUAAACGCAAACGAUAAUUUUGCUUACGCUGCCUAAUGGCAGCUGUCGACCUUAAGUCACUCGCUGCUUAAGAGUUCGGCAUCGACUUUGCGAGGCACUUCGCUGUCAAAGCUUUGAGAUAGUGGAAGAAUUAUGAAGCUACUAAUCUGAUAAGCCUGUUAGUGGGCGUAUCAGUGAGGGAAUGUUAAUACACUGACUGUAGUGGGAGAUGCCUUAAUGGAAGAGAUUUCGGACAGGGGUUCGAUUCCCCUCAGCUCCAUAG
rnacentral:tmRNA from 1 species